rnacentral:misc_RNA from 1 species
GAUAGAAUCAAUGAGAAAAUGAAGGCCUUGCAAGAGCUUCUUCCUCACUCUACUAAGGAAUUCCAAAUAUAUGAUUCCUGGCUUACUUUUUUCAGACAGACAAAGCAUCAAUGCUGGAUGAGGCUAUUGAAUACUUGAAAUCACUUCAGAUGCAACUGCAGAUGAUGUGGAUGGGAAGUGGCAUGGCAUCAAUGAUGUUCCCUGGUGUCCAACACUACAUUUCCAGAAUGGGAAUGGGGAUGGGUCCGCCUUCG